rnacentral:rRNA from 1 species
AACGAACGCUGGCGGCAGGCUUAACACAUGCAAGUCGAACGCCCCGCAAGGGGAGUGGCAGACGGGUGAGUAACGCGUGGGAACAUACCCUUUUCUACGGAAUAGCUCUGGGAAACUGGAAUUAAUACCGUAUACACCCUACGGGGGAAAGAUUUAUCGGGGAAGGAUUGGCCCGCGUUGGAUUAGCUAGUUGGUGGGGUAAAGGCCUACCAAGGCGACGAUCCAUAGCUGGUCUGAGAGGAUGAUCAGCCACAUUGGGACUGAGACACGGCCCAAACUCCUACGGGAGGCAGCAGUGGGGAAUAUUGGACAAUGGGCGCAAGCCUGAUCCAGCCAUGCCGCGUGAGUGAUGAAGGCCUUAGGGUUGUAAAGCUCUUUCACCGAUGAAGAUAAUGACGGUAGUCGGAGAAGAAGCCCCGGCUAACUUCGUG